AGCGUCUCCGUUGCCAGGGGAACGAGGCACCACGCUUUCCGGCGCGGUCGCAGCGCGAAGCAGCUGUCAUGGCGGAAGCGGUCUGGAGCACUGACACCGGCGAGGCCGUGUAUCGCUCCCGGGACCCCGUGCGCAACCUGCGCCUCCGAGUUCAUCUGCAAAGAAUCACAUCAAGCAACUUCCUUCAUUACCAGCCUGCUGCCCAGAUGGGGAAGGACCUCAUAGACUUGGCCACUUUUAGGCCUCCGCAAGCUGCUAGUGGACACCGCCCUGACGAAGAAGAGGAGGAAGAGGUUGUAAUUGGAUGGCAGGAAAAGCUCUUUAGCCAGUUUGAAGUCGACCUGUACCAAAAUGAAUCCGCGUGCCAGAGCCCACUGGAUCAUCAGUACCGCCAAGAGAUCUUGAAACUGGAGAAUUCUGGCGGCAGGAAAAACCGGCGAAUCUUCACUUACACUGACUCGGAUAGAUACACCGACUUGGAAGAGUACUGUCAGAAAAUAACCACUUCAGCCAGCGAGGUGCCAUCGUUUCUGGCUGAGCGGAUGGCGAACGUCAGGCGGCGGCGGCAGGACAGGCGAGGGGUGGAGGGCAGCAAACUCAAGUCUCGGAUCGUCACGUGGGAACCCUCGGAAGACUUCAUCAAGAACAACCACGCUAUUAACACUCCUCUUCAGACAAUGUACAUCAUGGCGGACCUGGGACCCUAUGGAAAGCUUGGCUAUAAGGUACAUGAGCACGUGCUCUGCAUCCUGAAGGUGGACAGCAAUGGCGUGAUCACAGUGAAGCCUGACUUCACCGGCAUCAAAGGACCCUACAGAAUCGAAACUGAGGGAGAGAAGCAGGAACACACUUCUGCUUGGAAAUACACAAUUGACAACGUGUCCUCCCUCGCACAGCCAGAGGAGGAAGAGCGGGAGCAGCGAGUGUUCAAGGACCUUUACGGCCGGCACAAGGAGUACCUCAGCAGCCUCGUGGGCACAGACUUUGAGAUGAUUGCCCCAGGUGCCCUCCGGCUCUUUGUGAACGGAGAGUUUCAGCCCAAGGCUAUGAGUAUGACAACCUCUACGUCCACUUCUUUGUGGAGCUGCCAGCUGCUAACUGGUCCAGCCCGCCAUUCCAGCAGCUCUCGGGAGUAACCCAGGCCUGUGCCACCAAAUCCCUGGGAAUGGACAAGGUGGCCUAUUUCUCCUUUCCGUUCACAUUCGAAGCCUUCUUUCUGCAUGAGGACGAAUCGGCUGAGUCCCUCCCGGAGUGGCCUGUGCUCUACUGUAAGGUCCUCUCACUGGACUUCUGGCAGAGGUAUCGUGUGGAAGGCUACGGGGCUGUGGUGCUGCCUGCCACUCCAGGAUCCCACACCCUGACUGUCUCCACAUGGAGGCCCAUGGAGCUGGGUCUCGUGGCAGAGCUAAGGAGGUUCUUCAUUGGCGGCUCUCUGGAGCUGGAGGACCCAUCCUAUGUGAGGAUACCAGGAACCUUCAAGGGGGAGCGCCUGAGCCGCUUUGGAUUCCGCACUGAGACAACGGGUACUGUCACCUUCCGAUUGCACUGCCUGCAGCAGUCCCGGGCUUUCAUGGAAUCGAACUCCCUCCAGAAACAGAUGCGGAGUGUGUUGGACCGUCUGGAAGGGUUCAGCCAGCAGAGUUCCACGCACAACGUGCUAGAAGCAUUCCGUCGAGCCCGGCGUCGGAUGCAGGAGGCCCGAGAGAGCCUCCCCCAGGACCUUGUGAGCCCCACGGGAACGUUGACCUAGUUCUCUGCAACCCUGGCCUGUGGAGCAAGGGAAAGAUGUCUGCAUCCAGUGCUCUCACUUUGUCUUGCUUAUUAGAGACCACAUUGGUCGACCAAACUGGAUGAUCUAGAAACUUCCCACCGGCUCCCCUGCCUCAUCUUCAGCAGGACAUUCUUUCCUCCAUGCAGAAGUCAAGCCUGAGACUCUGGGGCCCCACCUGACACCCUGCUCAUGUUUUGGCUAUCAAACACGGGCAUCAUAACAAGGCAGGCCGUGCAGUCUGAAACUCGUCUGGGGGAAACCCAGCAUUAGCCUCUCCUCAGUACAGUGUCUUUUCUGGUUUGUCCUGGAACCUCCAUAGCAGAGGGCUCCAAAAGGGAGUUUGGCAACCAGGCGUAAUGGUGCACACACCUUUAAUCCCAGCACUCAAGUGGCAGAGGCAGGAGGAUAUCUAUGAAUUUGAGGCCAGCCUGGUCUACAUAGUGAGUUCCCAGACAGCCAGAGCAACAUAGUGAGACCCUGUCUCAAAGCAACAACAAAAGCAGACAGCAGCAGCAUGGAGUUUGGCAUCUUCCGAGGAGGAAGGUGCAUUCCGGAGCUUAGACUCUUGUUUCUUCCAAGAAAAGGUGAGAGUAAGGGGCCUCAACUUCCUGGCUAAGUCUCUGUCCCCUGACAUUUUAGGGCUGGCUGGCUUUGGGACAUAGCCUGGGGGAGUUCUCAGUUCUCCUGCUGGCUGGGCGGGGUCUUUUAUUGUAUUUGUUUGUUUGUUUUUCAUAUAAAAAGUAUUUAUAUUGACUGA